rnacentral:rRNA from 1 species
UAAGCGACUAAGCGUACACGGUGGAUGCCCUGGCAGUCAGAGGCGAUGAAGGACGUGCUAAUCUGCGAUAAGCGUCGGUAAGGUGAUAUGAACCGUUAUAACCGGCGAUUUCCGAAUGGGGAAACCCAGUGUGAUUCGUCACACUAUCAUUAACUGAAUCCAUAGGUUAAUGAGGCGAACCGGGGGAACUGAAACAUCUAAGUACCCCGAGGAAAAGAAAUCAACCGAGAUUCCCCCAGUAGCGGCGAGCGAACGGGGAGCAGCCCAGAGCCUGAAUCAGUGUGUGUGUUAGUGGAAGCGUCUGGAAAGGCGCGCGAUACAGGGUGACAGCCCCGUACACAAAAAUGCACAUGCUGUGAGCUCGAUGAGUAGGGCGGGACACGUGGUAUCCUGUCUGAAUAUGGGGGGACCAUCCUCCAAGGCUAAAUACUCCUGACUGACCGAUAGUGAACCAGUACCGUGAGGGAAAGGCGAAAAGAACCCCGGCGAGGGGAGUGAAAAAGAACCUGAAACCGUGUACGUACAAGCAGUGGGAGCACAGAGCAAUCUGUGUGACUGCGUACCUUUUUGUAUAAUGGGUCAGCGACUCAUAUUCUGUAGCAAGGUUAACCGAAUAGGGGAGCCGAAGGGAAACCGAGUCUUAACUGGGCGUUAAGUUGCAGGGUAUAGACCGAAACCCGGUGAUCUAGCCAUGGGCAGGUUGAAGGUUGGGUAACACUAACUGGAGGACCGAACCGACUAAUGUUGAAAAAUUAGCGGAUGACUUGUGGCUGGGGGUGAAAGGCCAAUCAAACCGGGAGAUAGCUGGUUCUCCCCGAAAGCUAUUUAGGUAGCGCCUCGUGAAUUCAUCUCCGGGGGUAGAGCACUGUUUCGGCAAGGGGGUCAUCCCGACUUACCAACCCGAUGCAAACUGCGAAUACCGGAGAAUGUUAUCACGGGAGACACACGGCGGGUGCUAACGUCCGUCGUGAAGAGGGAAACAACCCAGACCGCCAGCUAAGGUCCCAAAGUCAUGGUUAAGUGGGAAACGAUGUGGGAAGGCCCAGACAGCCAGGAUGUUGGCUUAGAAGCAGCCAUCAUUUAAAGAAAGCGUAAUAGCUCACUGGUCGAGUCGGCCUGCGCGGAAGAUGUAACGGGGCUAAACCAUGCACCGAAGCUGCGGCAGCGACGCUUAUGCGUUGUUGGGUAGGGGAGCGUUCUGUAAGCCUGCGAAGGUGUGCUGUGAGGCAUGCUGGAGGUAUCAGAAGUGCGAAUGCUGACAUAAGUAACGAUAAAGCGGGUGAAAAGCCCGCUCGCCGGAAGACCAAGGGUUCCUGUCCAACGUUAAUCGGGGCAGGGUGAGUCGACCCCUAAGGCGAGGCCGAAAGGCGUAGUCGAUGGGAAACAGGUUAAUAUUCCUGUACUUGGUGUUACUGCGAAGGGGGGACGGAGAAGGCUAUGUUGGCCGGGCGACGGUUGUCCCGGUUUAAGCGUGUAGGCUGGUUUUCCAGGCAAAUCCGGAAAAUCAAGGCUGAGGCGUGAUGACGAGGCACUACGGUGCUGAAGCAACAAAUGCCCUGCUUCCAGGAAAAGCCUCUAAGCAUCAGGUAACAUCAAAUCGUACCCCAAACCGACACAGGUGGUCAGGUAGAGAAUACCAAGGCGCUUGAGAGAACUCGGGUGAAGGAACUAGGCAAAAUGGUGCCGUAACUUCGGGAGAAGGCACGCUGAUAUGUAGGUGAAGUCCCUCGCGGAUGGAGCUGAAAUCAGUCGAAGAUACCAGCUGGCUGCAACUGUUUAUUAAAAACACAGCACUGUGCAAACACGAAAGUGGACGUAUACGGUGUGACGCCUGCCCGGUGCCGGAAGGUUAAUUGAUGGGGUUAGCGCAAGCGAAGCUCUUGAUCGAAGCCCCGGUAAACGGCGGCCGUAACUAUAACGGUCCUAAGGUAGCGAAAUUCCUUGUCGGGUAAGUUCCGACCUGCACGAAUGGCGUAAUGAUGGCCAGGCUGUCUCCACCCGAGACUCAGUGAAAUUGAACUCGCUGUGAAGAUGCAGUGUACCCGCGGCAAGACGGAAAGACCCCGUGAACCUUACUAUAGCUUGACACUGAACAUUGAGCCUUGAUGUGUAGGAUAGGUGGGAGGCUUUGAAGUGUGGACGCCAGUCUGCAUGGAGCCGACCUUGAAAUACCACCCUUUAAUGUUUGAUGUUCUAACGUGGACCCGUAAUCCGGGUUGCGGACAGUGUCUGGUGGGUAGUUUGACUGGGGCGGUCUCCUCCUAAAGAGUAACGGAGGAGCACGAAGGUUGGCUAAUCCUGGUCGGACAUCAGGAGGUUAGUGCAAUGGCAUAAGCCAGCUUGACUGCGAGCGUGACGGCGCGAGCAGGUGCGAAAGCAGGUCAUAGUGAUCCGGUGGUUCUGAAUGGAAGGGCCAUCGCUCAACGGAUAAAAGGUACUCCGGGGAUAACAGGCUGAUACCGCCCAAGAGUUCAUAUCGACGGCGGUGUUUGGCACCUCGAUGUCGGCUCAUCACAUCCUGGGGCUGAAGUAGGUCCCAAGGGUAUGGCUGUUCGCCAUUUAAAGUGGUACGCGAGCUGGGUUUAGAACGUCGUGAGACAGUUCGGUCCCUAUCUGCCGUGGGCGCUGGAGAAUUGAGGGGGGCUGCUCCUAGUACGAGAGGACCGGAGUGGACGCAUCACUGGUGUUCGGGUUGUCAUGCCAAUGGCACUGCCCGGUAGCUAAAUGCGGAAGAGAUAAGUGCUGAAAGCAUCUAAGCACGAAACUUGCCCCGAGAUGAGUUCUCCCUGACUCCUUGAGAGUCCUGAAGGAACGUUGAAGACGACGACGUUGAUAGGCCGGGUGUGUAAGCGCAGCGAUGCGUUGAGCUAACCGGUACUAAUGAACCGUGAGGCUUAACCU